rnacentral:lncRNA from 1 species
GCCGAGAGUUAAAAUUACCUCCAAAAAAGAUUAAGAGCCAAAAUGAUAAAAAUGAAUGAACGUGAGGGACUAGAAUUAUUUUUAUGCCAAAAUCAAAUAUAAUGGUGGAUGAAUUUAAAACUAAUCAAAAGUGAAUAAUUAUUAGGGACUCUGUCAAUAAUGCAAGUAAGAGCAUUGACCUAAUAAAAAGAGUGAAAUGUUAAUUUAAUCCCUCCAAAAUCCAAAAGUUAUAAAAUUGUAAGUUAAUAUAAUAAUAAAAUAAUAUUUAUUUUAUAGUGGGAAACGGGAAAUUGCUAGGAAAUUUGGCCACCCAUACAGAAGCAAAUACGCCAAGGCGACCCAACU